rnacentral:rRNA from 1 species
UACAGAGGGGGCAAGCGCUGUUCGGAAUUACUGGGCGUAAAGGGCGCGUAGGCGGCCUGCUAAGUCGAACGUGAAAUCCCCGGGCUCAACCCGGGAACUGCGUCCGAUACUGGCAGGCUUGAAUCCGGGAGAGGGAUGUGGAAUUCCAGGUGUAGCGGUGAAAUGCGUAGAUAUCUGGAGGAACACCGGUGGCGAAGGCGGCAUCCUGGACCGGUAUUGACGCUGAUGCGCGAAAGCCAGGGGAGCAAACGGG